AUGCCUCAGUAACGGCGAGUGAAGCGGCAACAGCUCAAUUUGAAAUCUGGCUCCCUUUCGGGGUCCGAGUUGUACUUUGUAGAGGGUGCUUUGGGGUUUGGUAGCGGUCUAAGUUCUUUGGGACAAGACGUCACGGAGGGUGAGAAUCCCGUAUGUGGCCGCGUAACCUCGCCAUGUAAAGCCCCUUCGACGAGUCGAGUUGUUUGGGAAUGCAGCUCUAAAUGGGAGGUAAAUUUCUUCUAAAGCUAAAUACUGGCCAGAGACCGAUAGCGCACAAGUAGAGUGAUCGAAAGAUGAAAAGCACUUUGGAAAGAGAGUCAAAAAGCACGUGAAAUUGUUGAAAGGGAAGCGCUCACAGCCAGACGUGCUCGUGGCUGCUCAUCCGGACACGUGUCCGGUGCACUCUCCCACGAGCAGGCCAGCAUCGGUUUGGGCGGUUGGACAAAGGCGCCGGGAAUGUAGCUCCCUCCGGGGAGCGUUAUAGCCCGGCGCGCAAUGCAGCCAGCCCAGAUCGAGGCCCGCGCGCAUGCUAGGAUGCUGGCGUAAUGGCUGUGAGCGGCCCGUCUUGAAACACGGACCAAGGAGUCUAACAUCCAUGCGAGUGUUUGGGUGUCAAAUCCCAGGCGCGCAAUGAAAGUGAACGGAGGUGGGAACCCUCUUCGAGGGCGCACCAUCGACCGAUCCUGAUGUCUUCGGAUGGAUUUGAGUAAGAGCAUGGCUGUUGGGACCCGAAAGAUGGUGAACUAUGCCUGAAUAGGGCGAAGCCAGAGGAAACUCUGGUGGAGGCUCGCAGCGGUUCUGACGUGCAAAUCGAUCGUCGAAUUUGGGCAUAGGGGGCGAAAGACUAAUCGAACCAUCUAGUAGCUGGUUCCUGCCGAA
rnacentral:rRNA from 1 species